ensembl:lncRNA
CAGAAAUAGCAAAGCUGAACAUUUUCCCACAGCCAAAUCAGAUCAGUAAAAAACAAACAAAAAAAAAACCUUUUGUUUGGCAAAAAGUUUGGCAAAGUUCCCUUUGUACCGCUUUUCCUCCCUCUAAAAAAUAGCAACUGUCCUGAGACCGGUGGAUUUUCUUUUCAUAUACGUGUUCAUACUUUACUACAUAUGAAUUACUCAUAUAUCACACCCUGCAAUGCUUUGGGUGCUUCUUAAUUUACAUAAAUGGUGUCACACUGAAUGUAUCAUUCUGGAACCUGAUUUUUUUGUUGUUGUUGUUUAACCUAACAUUACAUUUCCAAGAUCUACUCUUGCUGAUGGGUGGAAACCUAGUUCAUUCAUUUUGAUUGAUGAAUAGCAUUACACUGUACAAAUAGACCACAAUUCAUCAACUCACCUACUGAUAGAUAUUUAAGUUGCUUCCAAUUUUUCACUACCACAAAGGAUUCUGGGUGAACAUCCUUGAACUUGUUUCUCUAGGACACAUCGCUAGAAGUGGUGCUGCCACUCUAGGGAGGGUGCAUUCCCAGUAACACUCACAUUGCUCAACUGCUCACUAGCUUGGCUGAACUGGUUGACGCUUCCACAGGUGUGGAUACGAUAUAUCUUAGAAGACUCUUUAUUCAGUAUGCUCUUGGAUUGUGUUCCUUUCUGAACAAAAAAACCCAUUCUAAUGUUCUCCAGUUCAUUCCUGACCUUUCUUCUCCUAACUUUACUCUCCUUUGAAGUCUUAGAUUCUUCAGUCAUCAGUUCUCCUACCGGCAGUUUUCAGGAUCUGAACCGAGUGGCUCACAAGGCGUGACCAGUAUGUGUGUUACAAGGUGGAGUGUAUGGCUGUGUUUGCAGCUUUGCACCAAAGCCAGCAAGAAGGACUGGAAAGGGCAAGACUUCCCACAACAUCUUUUCAAUAAUCCAUCAGAACUGAGGGCUGGGGAGUACCCGCCAUGAUGGAGAAUCCUCUCUUCCUCCAUCCCUCGCUCUUACUUGGCAUGGGUAGGGGGGAGAAUUGUCCCAGGAUGCCACCCUACUACACAUCUGCCCAGCUCUCCUUGUUGUUGUUUAGUCUCAAAGUUGUGUCCGACUCUUUGCAGCUGCUUGGACCAUAGCCCACCAGGCUCCUCUGUCCAUAGGAUUUCCCAGGCAAGAAUACUGGAGUGGGUUGCCAUCUCCUCCUUCAGGGGAUCUUCCACCCAGGGAUUGAACUCGCAUUUCCUGCUUGGCAGGUAGAUUCUUUACCACUGAACUGCCUGGGAUCUCCAAGGUAUCCCCACCCAACUCCAAAUACUUCUUUAAGCCACACAACCCACCGGAGAGGGGAAGAAGUGUGCUUUUCUGGGGAGGGGCAGCUCCAUUUCGGGGAAAGGGUUGAUUUCUUGGCCCUGAGCCUAAGAGUUCUUUGUUCAUGCCAAGGGCUGCCUCUUGCAUCUGGGCCUGUGGGAUUAGGAGAGCUGCCCAAAUCCUAGACUGGGAGUGACAGUGGACAGCCUAGAUCUUGAUCACUGACCCUGGGGCUGUUCGGAACUGCUCUGGAGUUCCUUUCCUCCCAGGAAAGACUCCCUGAAGCAGGGAGUCUUCAAGGCCUCAGAAGUAGACUUGAGAAACGGACACCACAAAAUCACUUGCCUCAAACUAAAGGCCUUUCAAGAGUCAAGAACCCAAAGUGAAUAAAAAAAUACAAUUCACAGUUAAGUGGGAAUAGGGAGGGCACGGACUCAAGGACUAUUUCUGGAUGAGACAUUUCCUCCCCAGCACUUUAGGUGCAGCAUAGGAGUUGUUUGUUGUAGGGGGAGUUUGUCCUUUCUCAAAAAGAUGAAGCCUGAAACCCUUGGCUUCCUUGUUCCAGGAAUUCCAGAAUUUUGGCCUUAAGCAGCCCACUCACCUGGGCAACAGGCAGCUUUCUUCAUGUAGGAGGACAGGAGGCCUACCCCUCCUGUUGGCAAGGAAUUCCCGCUGGAGUCCUCACCUUUGAGCCCCGCCCACCAACCAAUGAGGACUCGCGGAGGUGAUGUGACUACAUCCUGUUUCCCAGCCCAGUGGAGGAGGAUGGGACCAGCUGGGGAAAAGAGCCAACGUUGGUCUGGGAUCAUCUUGACCAGUAAUUCAUCCGUGCUGGUGUCCUGACACGCUGCAUAUCUCGAGCAGUUAUGAGUGAGACAUCAAGUCACUGGAGACUCAGGCCCUGGAGCAAUCUGAUCCAGA